GAUGAACGCUAGCGAUAGGCCUAACACAUGCAAGUCGAGGGGCAUCACAUGAAGUAGCAAUACGGAUGGUGGCGACCGGCGCACGGGUGAGUAACACGUAUGCAACCUGCCUUCAACAAGGGGAUAACCCGUUGAAAGACGGACUAAUACCCUAUAACACAGGGGUCCCGCAUGGGAAUAUUUGUUAAAGGACAACCGGUUGAAGAUGGGCAUGCGUUCCAUUAGCUAGUUGGCGGGGUAACGGCCACCAAGGCAACGAUGGAUAGGGGAACUGAGAGGUUUAUCCCCCACACUGGUACUGAGACACGGCCCAGACUCCUACGGGAGGCAGCAGUAGGGAAUUUUCGGCAAUGGGGGAAACCCUGACCGAGCAAUGCCGCGUGAACGAUGAAGGUCUUCGGAUUGUAAAGUUCUGUGAUUGGGGAAGAAUGGUAUUCUUAGGGAAUGAGGAGUACAU
rnacentral:rRNA from 1 species